rnacentral:rRNA from 1 species
UUAAAUUGAGAGUUUGAUCCUGGCUCAGGAUGAACGCUGGCGGCGUGCUUAACACAUGCAAGUCGAGCGAUGAAGUUUCCUUCGGGAAACGGAUUAGCGGCGGACGGGUGAGUAACACGUGGGUAACCUGCCUCAUAGAGUGGAAUAGCCUUCCGAAAGGAAGAUUAAUACCGCAUAAUGUUGAAAGAUGGCAUCAUCAUUUAACCAAAGGAGUAAUCCGCUAUGAGAUGGACCCGCGGCGCAUUAGCUAGUUGGUGGGGUAACGGCCUACCAAGGCGACGAUGCGUAGCCGACCUGAGAGGGUGAUCGGCCACAUUGGGACUGAGACACGGCCCAGACUCCUACGGGAGGCAGCAGUGGGGAAUAUUGCACAAUGGGGGAAACCCUGAUGCAGCAACGCCGCGUGAGUGAUGAAGGUUUUCGGAUCGUAA